UACGGGGGGGGCAAGCGUUGUUCGGAAUUACUGGGCGUAAAGGGCUCGUAGGUGGCCAACUAAGUCAGACGUGAAAUCCCUCGGCUUAACCGGGGAACUGCGUCUGAUACUGGAUGGCUUGAGUUUGGGAGAGGGAUGCGGAAUUCCAGGUGUAGCGGUGAAAUGCGUAGAUAUCUGGAGGAACACCGGUGGCGAAGGCGGCACCCUGGACCAUCACUGACACUGAGGAGCGAAAGCCAGGGGAGCAAACGGG
rnacentral:rRNA from 1 species